rnacentral:rRNA from 1 species
UACGUAGGGUGCGAGCGUUGUCCGGAAUUAUUGGGCGUAAAGGGCUCGUAGGCGGUUUGUCGCGUCGGGAGUGAAAACCAGGUGCUUAACACCUGGCUUGCUUUCGAUACGGGCAGACUAGAGGUAUUCAGGGGAGAACGGAAUUCCUGGUGUAGCGGUGAAAUGCGCAGAUAUCGGGAGGAACACCAAUGGCGAAGGCAGCUCGCUGGGACGGUACUGACGCUGAGGCGCGAAAGCGUGGGGAGCAAACAGG